CCUGCCCCUAAGGCGUUGCAGGGAUGGCAGCUGUAUCACUUGUGCAUCAGAGGUGGCAGAGAGGAGAGAGGCUGUGUCUACAUUCAGUGUUCUAAGCUGUGAACAUCUGAAUGAGAAGUACCCUAACAUU